UCACUACAAGAUGGAAUACUGAAUAUGCUAGCUGGAUCUACCCUACCAAACAUAAACAUUGAAGUUCCAAGCGUUAUUGCUGGAGAUGAAGCAUUUUCCCUGUCGAGUGCACCGAAAGCAGUCAUUUUCACGUGCCGGUCUAGUGUGAAUCAGUUCAUCCAAAUUCCAAAUUUUCUUCAGUUUGCCGUGUGGAUCACGUGCCGGCCACAGCACUGUCAGAUUACAGCUGAGUGUGAAUAGGCCUUAAUAAUCCAACAGUUGUCAUUGCUGUGCGCGUUUAGGCGUUUGAAUAGACCACGUUACAACCGCGAUGAAUGCUGGUCCGUUUAUUUUAGAGCUUUUUUAUUUACAUUUUUUUAAAUGGAACGAGUUUAAUAGCGUUGCGGCCGUUUAACUGUCAUGACAUGUUCACAAUGGAAGUUUCGAAUUCCCUAAAGUUGCAAUCAAUUCUAUCAUUUCCUCUCCAAGAGGCCGAGGCUCUACAUAGCGCCGAAUUUCUACUCAAUACUUUUUUCCACUGACACGCCUAUUAGCAACGAUGUGUUGUGACAUCACCAUGCCAACCGUAGCUAAACACCAUUGUCAAACGGAACGGCAAUUAGGCUUAGCGAGAUUUGAAAGCGGUUAAGUGUAUACAACUAGUGGAAAUUGUAACCGAACGCAUCCAACAGUCUAGUUUUGUAUGACCCUAAAAUUGAAGUGAUUUCAGAUUGUUUAUGAAUUAGCUUUUUAGUCCGAAUUAUUAAUAAGUUAUUAUUGGAAGUUUUUCCAACUAGCAGAUCGAGUUGAAUGGCUGCUACUGAAGACUGUAAGUGUUUAGUAUAAAAGUUUGAAAUAGCUUUAAUAAGGAAGACAUUGGUUUGACGUUUCAUUACACUUUUCACCGAAGUCUACAGGGUUUUUAGCAUGAGGCAAGGCUUGCUCGAACAAUUUCAUCUAUAAGCUUUACUCGCUGCGAUUUCAGCGUACGUAUGUUUGCAAUGUACAUACGUUUUUGUAUUCCACGUACACUUUGGUCUAUCGGCGCAUUGUCCGCUGCGACUAUAACUUUUUUGAUGCUUUCUAUCUCACCGGAACAUAAUUCUCCAAACUUCCACCAGCAGGUAGAAUCUAAAACCACUUUUCGCGUAAAGGAUAUUCUGAAUUUAAAAUACGGGUUGUUUAAAAAGUACUAAAUGAUUUUGGAAUACGGAUUGCUUAUAAAGUACUAAGUCCCUUAUUACUAAUAGCUAUUAAGACUGCUAAUGAUAUUUCUCUUAUGAACUAACAAAAUUCGGUUAUAUUUUCAGUUGGUGGAAUUUGUAAAUACAUAUGCACAUUUCAUAUGUUCACUAGUUUUUUUUUGACAUAUAAACUGCUUGCCCUUUGACGUUCACAACGCUCGCGAUUCUGGCGAAGCGUCCCGUUUCACGUUUGCGUCUAACCGCGAGCGUUAUCCGUAAACGUCAGUUUUCGAUUGCACUUCGCUCGCGACGACCCAUGUCUCCUGCCUUUGUCCCGUUCACAAGCGGGGUCGCCAUUUGGCUCUAUCGAAUGCCUGAUCUGGGUGCAAUCUCGAGGCUUUCAAAUCCCCAUCUAGCGUAUGAAGCCACCGUUAUAUUCCCUAAAUAAUUACCUCCUCAAAAUGCCGUUCUGGCAGUUAAACGCUGGCAUAGCUAUCAAACUCGUUCAGUUUGGAAGUGAACAUAAUACGCUCUUUACCAAACGGAACUACGUUCACCGCGUUCGUCGUCCAUCCACUUCAUGGGGUUCACGAACGUCAUACGGUCCGGAGCUAUAGUUAGUCAGUCUUUGCUAGAAGGCAAAUGGACAGUCGAUACAUUUUUCUUUCUAAUUUAAUUUUAUAAAUAUUUUUGUUUUCCUCAUUAUUUUAAAACAAAAAUGUCAUAAAACCUAAAUGCCCACACAGUACGUGUA